AAAAAAUUCUUACAGCUGUAUGGGAACAAAAUAAACAAUUUCUAUCUCUUCCAAUUUUUCAAGACAGUUUUUACAAAUCGAGUAAAAAAUUAUUGAAACCAAUAUAUUGGUUCCUGUCACGCAUCUGGGAACGUUGUAGCCAAUAAGAGCCAACGUCGAGUGAUGUUGGCAGCGUUGGUGUAGCGAUCGAGCUCAAUCCAGAGAAAAGACAAAGGUGCAUCAGUACUAUAAGAAUCGCUGGCGAUUACAACCCAAAGCUUUGCAAUAGUUUAGAUACAGAAAACGCUAAAAGGUUUGCAACGGUAAAUUAAAAAGGAAACCCAACCCUGACAAUGAUCAGUCUGUGGCCGACGACUGAAAUUUUGUUUGAUUUUUAAUACGUCUAUAUAUAAUUUUUUUUAUUAGACAGCAUUUUAAUAUAUAAUAUUAAGUUUAAAAGUUUAAACAUGGAUGAGCCUAGGACCAACUAAGUACGAUUUCGCAAACGUCGAUCAGGCCUUUUACAUCGCAUUUAAAAUAUUUGAAACAAAGACGAACUGAGAUUAAAGCUUAAUCGACGUUGGUGAAAUCGGUUAUAGUUUCAUUAUUAAAAAAACGCCUACUUUGAUUUUACAAACGUCUCCAUGGCUAUAUUUCUUUUUUCGCGUGAAUACAUUUUAAUAAUCAGAAGUUUAAACGUCGAUGAGUCUGUAGGCGACUAUUUUUAUUUGAAAUGAUUUUGAGAAACGUUUAUAUGCUUUUAUAUAUUUUUUCGCCUUAACAUAUUUUAAUAGCCGCAAGUCGAUCAACCUGUGACCGAUUACUUUUAUUUUUUGUGAUUUGUAAAAACGUUUAUGUCUACAUUUGUCUUGUAUGUUACAGCCUUUUAAUAAUUAUAACUUGAAACAUUUAUUACUAAUAAAAAUUUGUUAUUAUUAUUACUGUAUGUAUGUAUAUAUAUUUGAAUUCCAAGUUACUUAAUUUCUGCACAGCGCAAAGUUUUCUAUAAUGUCUCUAAUAACAUCAUAAACGAAAUAAAUAUGUAAUGAUUUUGUAAUCUACAAAAUUUUGUGUGAUUGGAAACAAUUUUGAGUCUUUGAAAAGACAUAAUGUGUACUAAACUCUGAAAUGAUUUUUCUUCUUAUAAGCUGUUGCCUGGAAUCUAUUUUUGAAAUUAUAAAACAAAAUAUUUUUCUUAUCACGGGACGGAUAUAAGAGAUUGGCGGCACAACUUUUCCUCGGACAUGGUUGCUAAUGUGAAAUAGCAAUCAGUUGUCAUAUCUGAUGAAUCGAAUCAGGAUUACGUCGUUUCGAAGACCCAAGAUUGUUUCCAAUCAUCUUGUACAUAUGUGGUAUCAACGUCUAAAAAAAAUUGAUUGAACGUUGAUUAAACGUCUAUAAAACGUUGAUUUCAAUAUCCAUAAGACGUUGAAAUGUAAAGGAAAAUUCAACAAUCGCGGACAUUUUUACAUUGUAUGAAGGUUUGUGCAAUGUUGAUUCUAUGUUUCUCAAUGUUGCUGCAAUAUUGACAUUGUUGCAAUUCAACAUUCAUUCUACAUUGAUUCAACAAUUCUGUGCUGUAUGGGUUAUUAGC